rnacentral:rRNA from 1 species
CUACGGGAGGCAGCAGCAAGGAAUUUACUGCAAUGGGCGCAAGCCUGACAGAGCAACGCCGCGUGGGGGAUGACGCGCUUCGGUGUGUAAACCCCUUUUCCCUGGGACGAAGCCGAUGACGGUACCAGGGGAAGAAGGACCGGCUAACUACGUGCCAGCAGCCGCGGUAACACGUAGGGUCCGAGCGUUGUCCGGAAUUACUGGGCGUAAAGCGCGCGCAGGCGGUCUGGUCAGUCGAUGGUGAAAGCCCCACGCUCAACGUGGGAAGGUCCGUCGAGACGGCCAGACUGGAGGCAGGGAGAGGUCGGUGGAAUUCCGGGUGUAGUGGUGAAAUGCGUAGAGAUCCGGAGGAACACCAGAGGCGAAGGCGGCCGACUGGACCUGACCUGACGCUGAGGCGCGAAGGCGUGGGGAGCGAACGGGAUUAGAAACCCCGGUAGUCC